rnacentral:rRNA from 1 species
GAUGAACGCUGGCGGCGUGCCUAAUACAUGCAAGUCGAGCGAAUGGAUUAAGAGCUUGCUCUUAUGAAGUUAGCGGCGGACGGGUGAGUAACACGUGGGUAACCUGCCCAUAAGACUGGGAUAACUCCGGGAAACCGGGGCUAAUACCGGAUAACAUUUUGAACCGCAUGGUUCGAAAUUGAAAGGCGGCUUCGGCUGUCACUUAUGGAUGGACCCGCGUCGAAUUAGCUAGUUGGUGAGGUAACGGCUCACCAAGGCAACGAUGCGUAGCCGACCUGAGAGGGUGAUCGGCCACACUGGGACUGAGCCACGGCCCAGACUCCUUCGGGAGGCAGCAGUAGGGAAUCUUCCGCAAUGGACGAAAGUCUGACGGAGCAACGCCGCGUGAGUGAUGAAGGCUUUCGGGUCGUAAAACUCUGUUGUUAGGGAAGAACAAGUGCUAGUUGAAUAAGCUGGCACCUUGACGGUACCUAACCAGAAAGCCACGGCUAACUACGUGCCAGCAGCCGCCGUAA